rnacentral:rRNA from 1 species
UACGGAGGAUGCGAGCGUUAUCCGGAUUUAUUGGGUUUAAAGGGAGCGCAGACGGGUCGUUAAGUCAGCUGUGAAAGUUUGGGGCUCAACCUUAAAAUCGCAGUUGAUACUGGCGUCCUUGAGUGCGGUUGAGGUGUGUGGAAUUCGUGGUGUAGCGGUGAAAUGCUUAGAUAUCACGAAGAACUCCGAUUGCGAAGGCAGCACACUAAGCCGUAACUGACGUUCAUGCUCGAAAGUGUGGGUAUCAAACAGG